GAAACGCGAUAGUUAAUGUGAAUUGCAGAAUUCAGUGAAUCAUCGAAUCUUUGAACGCACAUUGCGCCCCCUGGUAUUCCGGGGGGCAUGCCUGUUCGAGCGUCAUUUCACCACUCAAGCCUCGCUUGGUAUUGGGCGACGCGGUCCGCCGCGCGCCUCAAAUCGACCGGCUGGGUCUUUCGUCCCCUCAGCGUUGUGGAAACUAUUCGCUAAAGGGUGCCGCGGGAGGCCACGCCGUAAAACAACCCCAUUUCUAAGGUUGACCUCGGAUCAGGUAGGGAUACCCGCUGAACUUAAGC
rnacentral:misc_RNA from 1 species